rnacentral:lncRNA from 1 species
CUUAAUCUUUUAUACAUCUCCUGUGACAGAAUCUUUUGUACAUCUCCUAUGUCAUUGAUGGAUUCCAGAAGGGUUUGUGACAUUUUUACUGGUGUUUAAGACACAGAGACCUAUACAGUGACGGUCCUCAAAAGGCGAGAAGAGAUGUUGUUCUCAGCCUGAAGGUAAAGGCAAUCUUAUACCCAAGAAAAGCCUUCUUCCUGCAGUUCCAAAUUCAAACACCCAAAGGAAAUGGGAACAGACAACAGCCCUCUUGAAGCAGCUGUUAUGUAACAUUUGCUGACCAAAAUCUGAUUCUUCGUCUAUUGAAAUACUGCAAUUUAAAGACCUCCACAGGCUGGCUUGUUUCACCUCACCUUACCUUGGAACUUCUGGGAACAAAUACAGCCUAGUGAAAAAUCUGGGCUUUGGAACUCGAGAUCCCAGCUCUGAUGCCUACCAUAUGGACUACCCUGCACAACGUUUUGUGUGCACUUCAAAGGAUGAGCCACUGAUCUCGUCUUCUCUCCACAGAAGAAUGUGUAUCCUGCUGUUGUUGUGUGGAGUGUUCUAUAGAUGUCUGUUAGGUCUAGUUGGUUUCCAGUGUUGUUCAAGUGUUCUAUUUGCCUGUUGAUUUUCUGCC